UUUCGUACUAGACUAAACAAGUCUGUAAUCUUUGGUGUUUUCUGAUGAAUAAGAGAGUUUAUUCAAGGUAAGCUUGUAUUCUCGAUUUGUCCCAACAUCGUGGAAUAAAAUUAGUGUGACAUCAUCAGGUUCCGGUGCUAUAUCUGCAGAACAGUUCUCAACUAUUUAGAACUGUUUCUUUUUGGAUGUCAUCAGAAACAGCCUCUCUACUUCUUCGAAGGUAGCGGCUUACCCUGCCCAGACUCCACUUUGUGGGAAUACACUGGGUUUGUUGUUGUUGUUCUUUUUGGAUGUCGUCCUUUACAACCAUUCUUUCACCUUUCCGCUCACAAUCAGGUUAGAUUCUACUCUAGAGUGGUGGUCUUCACCACCUCUCCUUUGUACAAUUGUUGAAUAGAAACCUAAUGUUUCCCGCCGCCCACCCACCACCUUAGCUUCUCUUUUCCUCUCCUUAACAAGUUAAAAAAAGGGUAGCCCGGUGCACUAAAGUUCCCUCUAGGGAAAGGCCGAACCACAAGGUCUCACCAUAGACAGCCUUGCCCGGAGUUUCUGCAGCCCAAAAAAUUCCAAGCAAAAAUUGCACAAAAUUUCAUCCCAUAAAUUGCUCUAAAAUAUCUUCCUCUUCCUCAUCUUCACUGAAAUUCAACCCCACCCCUCACUUCUGCUUAACUUAUUCAGCAUAAAAAACCAAUCUUUUUCAACUUAUGCAGCAUAAAAAGGCAAUCUUUGAUUAUACAUUUCUUAUAUAAAACUUAGUCAGCUUGUUCUAAUGUAAGUUUUUGCAUGUUUUACUAGUAUAAAUUCACUUUCUUUUUUGUCCAUAUGGGUGUAAUUAUACUUAGUUCCUCACCAAUUUGCUGCAAUAAUUUUAACUGUGUAUCUGUAACUGACACUAGACAAUCUACUAGUAGUAGUAAUGGGUGUUCAGUUAGAGGGAGAUUGAAUUUUUCCUCAUGUGGGGGUGUGAUAAAUUGUGAUAUAAUUAGGAAAAAAAAUGUGGGGUCUUCAAGAUUUGUGAUUUCCUCAUGUGGGGUUGUGAUGAAUUGUGAGAAAAUUAAGGGGGGAAAUGUGGGGUCUUCAAGAUUUUUGAUGAAAUGUUCAAAUGAUGUUGUGUUAGGUAAAGACUUGAACUUUUUAUCUGAGGGGUCUGUGAUGAAUUGUGAGAAAAUUAGGAAAAAGAAUGUGGGGUCUUCAAAAUUUGUGAUGAAAUGUUCCAAUGAUGUUGUGGUGAAUUGUGAGAAAAUUAGGAAAAAAGAUGUGGGGUCUUCAAGAUUUGUGAUGAAAUGUUCAAAUGAUGUUGUGUUGGAUAGGGACUUGAGUUUUUGCUCUUGUGUGUGUGUGGUGAAUUGUAAGGAAAUUAGGAAAAGAAAUGUGGGGUUUUCAAGAUUUGUGGUGAAAUGUUCAAAUGAUGUUGUGUUAGUGAAUGGUAAAUGUAGAAGUGGCAUAUCUGCUGAGGGAGUGUUGAGGGACUUGAGGUCGAUUUCGGAACCAACUGAAGCUUUAGCUUUGUUUAAAUCCGUAGCAGAGAUGCCUAUGGUUGUGCAUACUACGGAAACGUGUAAUUACAUGUUGGAGUAUUUGAGGGUUCUUGAUAGGGUGAAUGAUAUGGCGGUAGUGUUUGAUUUGAUGCAAAAACAGAUAGUUUAUAGGAAUUUGGAUACUUAUUUGAUUAUAUUUAAGGGUCUUCAUAUAAGGGGAGGAAUACGUGAAGCUCCGUUUGCUCUUGAAAGGAUGAAGAAAGCAGGGUUCGUGUUGAAUGCUUACUCGUACAACGGGUUGAUACAUUUGAUUCUUCAAGCAGGGUUUUGGCAGGAAGGUUUAAAGGUUUAUAGGAGGAUGAUUUCGGAAAAGCUUAAGCCGAGCCUUAAAACAUACUCUGCGUUAAUGGUUGCGUGUGGUAAAAGAAGGGAUACUGAAACGGUCAUGAGAUUGUUAGGUGAGAUGGAUGGUUUGGGAUUAAGACCGAAUAUUUAUACUUAUACCAUUUGCAUUAGAGUGCUCGGAAGGGCUGGAAAGAUUGAUGAUGCUUGUGCUAUAUUAAAGAGAAUGGAUGAUGAAGGUUGUGCUCCGGAUGUUGUUACUUACACCGUCCUCAUUGAUUCUCUUUGCAUUGCUGGAAAGGUAGAUAUUGCUAAAGAAGUCUUUUUCAAGAUGAAAGCUGGGCGCCAUAAACCUGAUCGGGUGACUUACAUCACUUUGCUAGAUAGGCUUAGUGAUCGUAAGGACUUGGACUCCGUAAGGGACUUCUUGGACAGGAUGGAGGCUGAUGGUUAUAAGCCGGAUGUCGUCUCUUUUACCAUACUUGUUGAUGCUUUGUGCAAAGUAGGUAACAUCACUGAAGCAUUUUCUACAUUAGAUGUAAUGAAGGAAAAAGGGAUCUUACCGAAUCUUCAUACUUAUAAUUCAUUGAUCAGGGGCCUGCUAAGAAAGAACAAGGUUAAUGAAGCGUUGGAGCUGUUUGAUAGCAUGAAAUCUCUUGGAGUUGAGGUCACAGCUUACACGUAUAUCCUGUUUAUUGACUACUACGGGAAAUCUGGUGAGCCUGAUAAAGCACUUGAAACAUUUGAGAAGAUGAAAGCUCAUGGAAUCGUGCCUAACAUUGUUGCUUGCAAUGCAUCUUUGUACAGUAUAGCAGAAAUGGGAAGGCUUGGAGAGGCGAAAAGUAUAUUUGAUGGAAUUAAAGAGAGUGGAUAUGUUCCAAAUUCAAUCACCUACAACAUGAUGAUGAAAUGCUAUAGUAAUGCAGGGAAAAUUGAUGAAGCUAUUAAGUUACUCUCCGAGAUGCUAGAAAGUGGUUGUGAUCCUGAUGUGAUUGUAGUCAAUUCAUUGAUUGACAUACUUUAUAAGGAUGGUCGGGCUAGUGAAGCGUGGGCAAUGUUUUACAGAUUGAAGGAUAUGAAACUGACUCCUUCCGUUGUGACCUACAACACUUUACUGGCUGGAUUAGGUAAAGAAGGAAAGAUCCGAGAGGCCUAUGAGUUACUGGAUAGCAUGGCUCUUCACGGGUGUGCUCCAAACACAAUCACUUACAAUACACUUUUAGAUACUCUUUGCAAGAACGGUGAGGUUGCUACAGCCUUGACGUUGCUUUACCAAAUGACGGGACCAAAUUGCUUUCCGGAUGUUUUCAGUUAUAACACUGUAAUCUUUGGGUUGGCUAAAGAAAAAAGGGUAACCGAAGCAUUUUUGCUAUACCAUCAGAUGAAGAAGAAAAUGUAUCCCGACUGUGUAACUGUAUAUGGUCUUCUACCUAUUCUUGUGAAAGAUGGCUUAGUUGACGAUGCUGUUAAGAUUGUGGAUGGUUUUGUUAACCAGGCUUUGAAUAGGUCGGAUAGAUCCUUUUGGCUGCAACUGAUGGAAGGUAUUUUGGGUGAAGCUGAAAUAGAUCAUUCCAUUUCUUUUGCCGAAAAACUGGCAUCGUAUCGUAUUUGCAGAAAUGACUUAAUAAUAGUACCUGUUAUUAGAGUUCUUUGCAAGCAAAAGAAAGCCCUUGAUGCUCAUGAUCUUUUUGUAAAGUUCAAGAACAAAUUCGGAAUUCACCCAACACUAAGAUCAUAUUAUCCUUUGGUUGAAGGACUUCUGAAUGUUCAUCAUCUUAAAGAAUUGGCAUGGCAUCUUUUCAAGGAAAUGAAAAAUGCCGGUUGUGCUCCAGAUGUUUAUACCUAUAAUUUGUUUCUUGAUGAACUUGGAAAGUCCGGGAAGGUUGAUGAACUUUUUGAGUUGUAUGAGGAGAUGCUCCACAGAGGAUGUAAGCCGAUCGCAAUAACUUACAAUAUUCUCAUUUCGGGUUUGGUGAAGUCUAAUGAAGUAGAGAGAGCAAUAGAUUUUUACUAUGAUCUUGUUAGUUUAGGCUUUACACCUACGCCUUGUACAUAUGGUCCUCUCAUAAAUGGGCUUUUUAAGGUUAAAAAUUUCGACAAAGCAAAGGACCUUUUUGAUGAAAUGGUGGAAUAUGGAUGCAGACCUAAUUCUGCUAUCUACAACAUUCUCAUAAAUGGGUUCGGGAAAGCAGGUGAUCUGAAAUCCGCGUGUGAUCUCUUCAACAGAAUGAAUAAAGAAGGAGUUAGACCGGAUUUAAAGACGUACACCAUUCUUGUAGAUUGCCUAUGCUCUUCGGGGAAGGUGGACGAUGCUCUAAACUACUUUGAGGAACUGAAAUCAGCUGGUCUUGAUCCUGAUUUGAUUUCUUACAACCUUAUGAUCAACGGUCUUGGGAAGUCCCGUAAAAUGAAGGAAGCACUGUAUCUUCUUGAUGAGAUGAAAAGCAAAGGAAUCACCCCGAAUCUUUAUACCUAUAAUACCUUGAUACUCAAUCUUGGAAUUGCUGGAAUGUUGGAAGAGGCUGGAAAAAUGUAUGAAGAACUUCAGCAACAAGGUUUUGAACCUGACGUUUUUACAUAUAAUGCUCUUAUUAGAGGGUACAGCAAGUCCGGUGAUCCAGAUGGCGCGUAUGCCAUUUAUGAGAAGAUGAUGGUCGGGGGUUGUAGCCCGAAUGGUGGGACUUUUGCACAGCUACCUAAUUAACGCCAGACUUUUUACGUUCUUCAAGUGAAGCUUUGUGAGAACCAGUUUCUACACUCUGCCUUGUGGCUGCUAAGGUAUAUACUCAUUCCACCACUCCAGGGAAUGUGCUAGAGAAUGUAAAUUGUUUCUGCACUUUUUGGAUAUCGAAACAUGCUAGGCAAAAUAGGUUUUUAAGACAUAAUUACUAUAUCUUCUUGUUCCUUAAAUCAUCCUGUACCCUAGAGGCGGAUGCAGAGUAUCCGUGUCGGAUUCAUAUGAACCUAGUACUUUCGACGCAGAUCAUAAUUUAUUUAUCUUUUUAACCAUUUUUCAACAAAUUGUAGAUAUGAACCCAUUUAGCUGAUAUGAUGCUCGUGACCCACACCGUGGGUCUUCCGGAAACGACCUCUCUACCUCCUCGAGGUAGGGGUAAGGUCUGCAUACGGUCUACCCUCUCCUUCCCAUACCCCACUUAUGGGACUAUACUGGGUUCGUUGUUGUUGUUGUUGAACCUGUGACUUCAAAAAUACAGUUGGUUCAACGGUAAGAACCUUAAAGAAUGAACCCAUAAAUCUUAAAUUUUGGAUCCUCCUCUGUUGUAGCCCGGCAGUCACCUUCAUUGAGUUAGGUUAUAGUGCGCUUUGCAUGCUUUUCUCGAAGUUCAUAUUGAAGCUCGUCGGUCAAGAAGUUGCAUUACCCUAAUAUAACUUUGUUCGAGUGGUUUGGUCUCUCAAAUUGAUUCCAAAUAUAUAAGAAAGAGCAAAUUUGCUUCUUCCAUUUCCAUUCUCAGAACAUCAAUGUGUCCGGGCUAGAAGUUAUUAACUUGUCAACGAUGGUAGUGUUAACUUGGCUGAACGUCUUAACCUUAAUUUCUUGGUUCUUUUCCGCAGGGAUUGCUUCUGCUGAUUGGAGGUUUACUUACUAUUUGAAGCUCUUAGAUGUGUCUGCAAGGUUGUUCUUCAGGUGCGGCUGUGAACCUCGAUGGCUUCGGAUUUCAUUUGUAAAUGCCAAAAUGUUGUCUAUAUAUAGUGUUAAUAUUUGGUGGUUGUAGGUUUAUACCUGUGCCUAACUGUAGAUAAGCAAGCAAAAUGUUGAGGCAAAACUUUUUCUAAAGUUUUGAUUUGUUAUUCAAUUUGCCAAGAAAUGUAGAGGUCUCCUUACAUUGUGUUAUUGUUUGCUGUGCAAUGUUUUGCGCGUAGCCGAGGGUCUUUUGGAAACAACCUCUCUACCUCCAUGAGGUAGGGGUAAGGUCCGCGUACACACCAUCCUUUCUGGAUCCCCUUUUGUGGGAUUACAUUGAGUAUGUUGUUUUACAAGGUAGGGGUAAGAUCCGCAUACACUCCAUCCUUUCUACCUCCAUGAGGUAGGGGUAAGGUCCGCGUACACACCAUCCUUUCUGGAUCCCCUUUUGUGGGAUUACAUUGAGUAUGUUGUUUUACAAGGUAGUGGUAAGAUCCGCAUGCACACCAUCCUUUCCGGACCCCAUUUUGUGGAAUUACAUUGAGUAUGUUGUUGUUUUGCUCCUGAACCAUUUGAUGCAAUCAUUAAGACCUUCCCAAUCUUAAAAAGGUUACAAAAUUGUGCAUUAUAGAAGAGCUUCACAUCCAAUAUCAUGUUUCAACUCUUACACUGUUUGGAUGGUUGAUACGUAUCGUUUCAUGAUGUAUUGUAUCAUAUUGCACUGUAUUGUCCUGAUGAAUACAAUGUUUGGAUAGAUUAUGUUAUUUCCCAUCGCUACAUGAUGCCACACAUGAGCAUGUAAUAUAUGUCUAAAUUAUUGUAACUUUUUCCAUAUAUAUCCAUGUUUCAUAUCAAAAUAUUGGGUUCGAUUGAACUCGUAAAUGAUAAAGUUAACAUUGGUCAUUUAACAGACUAAUGACUAGACACUGUACACUAAUCAAAUACAAUAUGAAGAAUAUUGAAGCUCCCGCUACGAGUGGGGUCCGGGGAAGGGCCGGACCAGACGACAAGGGUCUAUUGUAAAUAGAAUACAAAGAGAAAUUGCAAAAUGUCAAAAAACCAAAGCAAUUCAGAAUGAUUAUCUUUCCCCCAGUAAUGAUUCAGGAAGUGCAGCCUCUUCUUCCUGCAAAUUGAGAUAUCACAAUUAGAACAUUCAGUAGCUGAAAAUUUGUGUAUAUGUUAUACCAAAGUACAAUACAUGUACCACUAAGGCGUUAAAUUCAGUUUCCUCAUCGAUCGCGCUGAUGAUGGCCGGAUCUUCCAAGAGUUCCUGUUGCAGGAAAGUAGAGAGACAUUGUAACAGAGUACCCUAAACUGGAAAAAUCAAAGCUAACAACAGAGAAGUAAACAAUCAAGAAACAGCAACUGUACGCGAAAUCGCUCAGAUGCAAUAUAACCGUGACUAGUGUUUGUCCCAUGGGGCCUUUCUUCAAUAAAGCAUGUGUGGAUUUGUAUACCUUCAUUCCGAUUUCAUAGAGGUUGACACGCCUUGACUAGUACCACCUUUAAUCUAUCAGAGCAAUAAUAAUCUUAAUAUGUUUCGUACUAGACUAAACAAGUCUGUAAUCUUUGGUGUUUUCUGAUGAAUAAGAGAGUUUAUUCAAGGUAAGCUUGUAUUCUCGAUUUGUCCCAACAUCGUGGAAUAAAAUUAGUGUGACAUCAUCAGGUUCCGGUGCUAUAUCUGCAGAACAGUUCUCAACUAUUUAGAACUGUUUCUUUUUGGAUGUCAUCAGAAACAGCCUCUCUACUUCUUCGAAGGUAGCGGCUUACCCUGCCCAGACUCCACUUUGUGGGAAUACACUGGGUUUGUUGUUGUUGUUCUUUUUGGAUGUCGUCCUUUACAACCAUUCUUUCACCUUUCCGCUCACAAUCAGGUUAGAUUCUACUCUAGAGUGGUGGUCUUCACCACCUCUCCUUUGUACAAUUGUUGAAUAGAAACCUAAUGUUUCCC
rnacentral:lncRNA from 1 species